rnacentral:rRNA from 1 species
CCUACUGGAGGCAGCAGUGGGGAAUAUUGGGCAAUGGGCGCAAGCCUGACCCAGCAACGCCGCGUGAAGGAAGAAGGCUUUCGGGUUGUCAACUUCUUUUGUCAGUGACGAAGCAAGUGACGGUACCUGACGAAUAAGCCACGGCUAACUACGUGCCAGCAGCCGCGGUAAUACGUAGGUGGCAAGCGUUCUUCGGAUUUACUGGGUGUAAAGGGCGUGUAGGCGGGACUGCAAGUCAGAUGUGAAAACCACGGGCUCAACCUGUGGCCUGCAUUUGAAACUGUAGUUCUUGAGUAAUGGAGAGGCAGACGGAAGUCCUAGUGUAGCGGUGAAAUGCGUAGAUAUUAGGAGGAACACCAGUGGCGAAGGCGGUCUGCUGGACAGCAACUGACGCUGAGGCGCGAAAGCGUGGGGAGCAAACAGGAUUAGAUACCCUUGUAGUC